rnacentral:rRNA from 1 species
CUACGGGGGGCUGCAGUGGGGAAUAUUGCACAAUGGAGGAAACUCUGAUGCAGCAACGCCGCGUGGAGGAUGACACAUUUCGGUGCGUAAACUCCUUUUAUAUAAGAAGAUAAUGACGGUAUUAUAUGAAUAAGCACCGGCUAACUCCGUGCCAGCAGCCGCGGUAAUACGGGGGGUGCAAGCGUUACUCGGAAUCACUGGGCGUAAAGAGCAUGUAGGCUGGUUUGUAAGUUGGAAGUGAAAUCCUAUGGCUUAACCAUAGAACUGCUUCCAAAACUACUUACCUAGAGUAUGGGAGAGGUAGAUGGAAUUUCUGGUGUAGGGGUAAAAUCCGUAGAGAUCAGAAGGAAUACCGAUUGCGAAGGCGAUCUACUGGAACAUUACUGACGCUCAGAUGCGAAAGCGUGGGGAGCAAACAGGAUUAGAUACCCGGGUAGUC